UAAGCGCAUUCAUUUUCAGGAUCAGGGUCAAAGUCUGAAAGAUCACAGAAGAAGUGCAGGGUCAAUAAAAAUAGUGUAAUCCUCUUACCUGGAGUAAAACAGUGACCAUACAUACACACGUAUAUAUAUGUAUGUAUAGUAAUGUACAUGUGCAUAUGUAUAUAUGUAUAUAUUUAUUGACAUCUUUGUUUUUUUUUCUAUCAUUUGACAGGGUCAAAAAAGUGUGAGCGCCCCAGGCUUUGAGCAGCGUUUGGCAUUUUGGCAAAACACCUGCAAAGUAUUCAACAGGUAUGUACUGUACUACAUAUAUUAUACUUCCUGGUUUGUUUAAGACAUUUUACUAAUGGGUUUAAAAGAAUAAAUUUAAAUGUCGUUUUUAGAUCAAUGAUAUUCCCUGAGUGACACCACAACACCGGCUGUACUGCAUGGAUAUUUACUGAGGAACUCUGGAGAUGCUGAGGUUCAAGGACUCGAACCCAAACCCUUCUCUCCAGGAUAAAGGAAAAUGAACCAACGACAACAAGGAGGAAACAGAACCACGACAGGAACGUGAGAGAACUCAAAUGUACAACUGUUCUCUCCAGUCUAUGUACAACUAGAAAUGUUCUCUGUCACCAUGACAACAGCAGACGACCGCCUGUCUUUCUUCACCCAGGACAAUCAUCAUGCAGAAGACCGGCUUCCAUCCCCGCCCACUGCUCCACUGACUCCACGUGAAGCCCCAGAAACGGCAUGUUUUGUCAAUCAGUCUG